GCAUUCAGUUGCCAUCGGGUAAUGCCGGGCACUCUGGAAGGACUGCCAUCGACAAGAUGGAGGAAGUGGGGAUGACGUCAAGUCAUCAUGGCCCUUAUGUCCAGGGCGACACACGUGCUACAAUGGCCGGCACAACGGGAAGCGAGUUCGCGAGGACGAGCGGAUCCCUUAAAGCCGGUCGCAGUUCGGAUUGAAGUCUGCAACUCGACUUCAUGAAGCUGGAAUCGCUAGUAAUCGUGGAUCAGCCAAGCCGCGGUGAAUACGUUCCCGGGCCUU
rnacentral:rRNA from 1 species